rnacentral:rRNA from 1 species
AGUCGAGCGAGCUUGCCUAGAUGAUUUUAGUGCUUGCACUAAAUGAAACUAGAUACAAGCGAGCGGCGGACGGGUGAGUAACACGUGGGUAACCUGCCCAAGAGACUGGGAUAACACCUGGAAACAGAUGCUAAUACCGGAUAACAACACUAGACGCAUGUCUAGAGUUUGAAAGAUGGUUCUGCUAUCACUCUUGGAUGGACCUGCGGUGCAUUAGCUAGUUGGUAAGGUAACGGCUUACCAAGGCAAUGAUGCAUAGCCGAGUUGAGAGACUGAUCGGCCACAUUGGGACUGAGACACGGCCCAAACUCCUACGGGAGGCAGCAGUAGGGAAUCUUCCACAAUGGACGAAAGUCUGAUGGAGCAACGCCGCGUGAGUGAAGAAGGGUUUCGGCUCGUAAAGCUCUGUUGGUAGUGAAGAAAGAUAGAGGUAGUAACUGGCCUUUAUUUGACGGUAAUUACUUAGAAAGUCACGGCUAACUACGUGCCAGCAGCCGCGGUAAUACGUAGGUGGCAAGCGUUGUCCGGAUUUAUUGGGCGUAAAGCGAGUGCAGGCGGUUCAAUAAGUCUGAUGUGAAAGCCUUCGGCUCAACCGGAGAAUUGCAUCAGAAACUGUUGAACUUGAGUGCAGAAGAGGAGAGUGGAACUCCAUGUGUAGCGGUGGAAUGCGUAGAUAUAUGGAAGAACACCAGUGGCGAAGGCGGCUCUCUGGUCUGCAACUGACGCUGAGGCUCGAAAGCAUGGGUAGCGAACAGGAUUAGAUACCCUGGUAGUCCAUGCCGUAAACGAUGAGUGCUAAGUGUUGGGAGGUUUCC